rnacentral:rRNA from 1 species
CCUACGGGUGGCAGCAGUGGGGGAUAUUGCACAAUGGGGGGAACCCUGAUGCAGCGACGCCGCGUGGGUGAAGGAGCGUUUCGGCGCGUAAAGCCCUAUCGGCAGGGAAGAAGAUGACGGUACCUGACCAAGAAGCCCCGGCUAACUACGUGCCAGCAGCCGCGGAAAUACGUGGGGUGCAAGCGUUGUCCGGAAUCAUUGGGCGUAAAGCGUUCGUAGGCGGUAUGUCAAGUCUGAUGUUAAAGCCCGGGGCUCAACUCCGGUUCGGCAUUGGAUACUGGCAAACUAGAAUGUGGUAGAGGUAAAGGGAAUUCCUGGUGUAGCGGUGAAAUGCGUAGAUAUCAGGAGGAACAUCGGUGGCGAAAGCGCUUUACUGGACCAUUAUUGACGCUGAGGAACGAAAGCCAGGGGAGCAAAUGGGAUUAGAUACCCGUGUAGUC